UACGUAGGGUCCGAGCGUUGUCCGGAAUUAUUGGGCGUAAAGGGCUCGUAGGCGGUCUGUUGCGUCGGGAGUGAAAACUUACAGCUUAACUGUGAGCGUGCUUUCGAUACGGGCAGACUAGAGGUAUGCAGGGGAGAACGGAAUUCCUGGUGUAGCGGUGAAAUGCGCAGAUAUCAGGAGGAACACCGGUGGCGAAGGCGGGUCUCUGGGCCGAUACUGACGCUGAGGAGCGAAAGCGUGGGGAGCGAACAGG
rnacentral:rRNA from 1 species